rnacentral:siRNA from 1 species
UCUUGGCCCCAUAUAUUCUGGUC